AACAGGAAAUGGGGUUGGGCCGAAUUCCGGGCGCUGGGAGUGUGCGGAGAAGAUCCGAGAGGGUGGCAGCUGGAAGCCGUUAGCGAGAGCUGAAAUGUUCCGGAUCGAGGGCCUUGCGCCGAAGCUGGACCCGGAGGAGAUGAAACGGAAGAUGCGCGAGGAUGUGAUCUCCUCCAUACGGAACUUCCUCAUCUAUGUGGCCCUGUUGCGAGUCACUCCUUUUAUCUUAAAGAAAUUGGACAGCAUAUGAAGAGUUUGGACAGCAUAUGAAGAGUGGGUGUCACGUGUGAAUGCAUGGGGGCCAUGCAGUACCAGCCUUAAUCGUCCUUCCGCGAGCAACUUCGUAGCGUCUGAAGCCUCAUCCGCCCCGUUCACGUCUCCCUCUCCCUACCCUCCCUGAGGAGACUCCGGGUUCCUUUCCGCCGCGGUGGUCCGGAAGCCCAGCCCGGCCGCGCGCCCGCCGCUCCCGGCAUCCCCUCCCCGCGCGUCACGUGACGGCUGCCGCCCCGCACCAGCGCUGCAAAUACCGCCCCUAGGCGGGGCUCGAGGCUUGCCCGCCCCUGGCCCCGCGCCGCAGUCCUCGCGCAGGUGGCUGCGGCCCCGGCGCCCGAGGCCCGCCGUGCUGUGGGCUAGCGCCCCGGACAGCUCCCGGCGAGGAUUUUGCCUACCAAGAAUACUCAGGAAUGCCAACCUUCAACCAGAUAGCUCCACCAGGACUUUGGGUGCCAACUCACCUCACUUUUCAUAGACAACUUCAGGUCACGUCCAGUUUGACAACUGCAACUUCGAGAAUGGGCACAUCCAGGUCCACGGCCCAGGCACCUGCCAAGUGAAGUUUUGCUCCUUCAAGAACACUCAUGUCUUUCUGCACAA